rnacentral:rRNA from 1 species
GACGAACGCUGGCGGCGUGCUUAACACAUGCAAGUCGAACGGAAAGGCCCUGCUUUUGUGGGGUGCUCGAGUGGCGAACGGGUGAGUAACACGUGAGUAACCUGCCCUUGACUUUGGGAUAACUUCAGGAAACUGGGGCUAAUACCGGAUAGGAGCUCCUGCUGCAUGGUGGGGGUUGGAAAGUCUCGGCGGUUGGGGAUGGACUCGCGGCUUAUCAGCUUGUUGGUGGGGUAGUGGCUUACCAAGGCUUUGACGGGUAGCCGGCCUGAGAGGGUGACCGGCCACAUUGGGACUGAGAUACGGCCCAGACUCCUACGGGAGGCAGCAGUGGGGAAUAUUGCACAAUGGGCGGAAGCCUGAUGCAGCAACGCCGCGUGCGGGAUGACGGCCUUCGGGUUGUAAACCGCUUUCGCCUGUGACGAAGCGUGAGUGACGGUAAUGGGUAAAGAAGCACCGGCUAACUACGUG